rnacentral:rRNA from 1 species
AUGAACGCUAGCUACAGGCUUAACACAUGCAAGUCGAGGGGCAUCACAGUGUAGCAAUACACGGGUGGCGACCGGCGCACGGGUGCGUAACACGUAUCCAAUCUGCCCGUUACUCGGGGAUAGCCUUCUGAAAGGAAGAUUAAUACCCGAUGGCAUGUAUUUCCGGCAUCGGAGAUACAUUAAAGAUUUAUCGGUAACGGAUGAGGAUGCGUACGAUUAGCUGGUUGGCGGGGUAACGGCCCACCAAGGCUACGAUCGUUAGGGGUUCUGAGAGGAAGGUCCCCCACACUGGAACUGAGACACGGUCCAGACUCCUACGGGAGGCAGCAGUGAGGAAUAUUGGUCAAUGGUCUGACGACUGAACCAGCCAUGCCGCGUGAAGGUCACGGCCCUAUGGGUCUUAAACUUCUUUUGCAAGGGAGCAAUAAGGUCUACGUGUAGAUCGAUGAGAGUACCUUGCGAAUAAGCAUCGGCUAACUCCGUG